CGGUAUAGGAUGGCAUGCGUCCAUAGCUAGUGGUGAGUACGGCUCMCCAGGCAUCGAUGGUAUUGGGUCUAAAGGAUGGUCCCAMMCACUGGCAUUGRRACACGGGCARACUCCUWACGGRRGCAGCAGUGAGGAAUWAUUGGUCAAUGGGKGAGRAGCCUGAACCAGCCAUCCCGCGUGCAGGAUGACGGUCCUAGUGAUUGUAAACUGCUUUCUAUGAGAUGAAUAAGAAUUACGUGUAGUUCGAUGACCGUAUUAUAGGAAUAAGCAUCGGCUAACUCCGUGCCAGCAGCCGCGGUAAUACGGAGGAUGCAAGCGUUAUCCGGAUUUAUUAGGUUUAAAGGGUGCGUAGGUGGGCGUUUAAGUCAGUGGUUAAAGCCAUUAGCUUAACUAAUGUAUGCCAUUGAUACUGGAUGUCUUGAAUGUGGUAGAGGUAGGCGGAAUGUGUUGUGUAGCGGUGAAAUGCUUAGAUAUAACACAGAACACCGAUUGCGAAGGCAGCUUACUAUUCCAUUAUUGACGCUGAUGCACGAAAGCGUGGGGAUCAAACAGGAUUAGGUACCCUGGUAGUCCACGCUGUAAACUAUGAUCACUCGUUUUUGGCGAUAUAUAGUCAGAGACUGAGCGAAAGCAUUAAGUGAUCCACCUGGGGAGUACGUUCGCAAGAAUGAAACUCAAAGGAAUUGACGG
rnacentral:rRNA from 1 species